rnacentral:rRNA from 1 species
AGAGUUUGAUCAUGGCUCAGGACGAACGCUGGCGGCGUGCUUAACACAUGCAAGUCGAACGAGACGAUUGAAAGCUUGCUUUUGAAAGUCGAGUGGCAAACGGGUGAGUAACGCGUAGACAACCUGCCGUAAAGAUGGGGACAACAGUCCGAAAGGACUGCUAAUACCGAAUGUUGUAAAUCUUCCGCAUGGAAGACUUACUAAAGGUGGCCUCUACUUGUAAGCUAUCGCUUUACGAUGGGUCUGCGUCUGAUUAGCUGGUUGGUGGGGUAACGGCCUACCAAGGCGACGAUCAGUAGCCGGUCUGAGAGGAUGAACGGCCACAUUGGAACUGAGACACGGUCCAGACUCCUACGGGAGGCAGCAGUGGGGAAUCUUCCGCAAUGGGCGCAAGCCUGACGGAGCAACGCCGCGUGAGUGAAGAAGGGUUUCGACUCGUAAAGCUCUGUUGUCGGGGACGAACGUGGAGACGGCGAAUAGCUGUUUCCAAUGACGGUACCUGACGAGGAAGCCACGGCUAACUACGUGCCAGCAGCCGCGGUAAUACGUAGGUGGCGAGCGUUGUCCGAAAUUAUUGGGCGUAAAGGGAGCGCAGGCGGGAAGGUAAGUCUAUCUUAAAAGUGCGGGGCUCAACCCCGUGAGGGGAUGGAAACUAUCUUUCUUGAGUGCAGGAGAGGAAAGCGGAAUUCCUAGUGUAGCGGUGAAAUGCGUAGAUAUUAGGAGGAACACCAGUGGCGAAGGCGGCUUUCUGGACUGUAACUGACGCUGAGGCUCGAAAGCGUGGGGAGCGAACAGGAUUAGAUACCCUGGUAGUCCAUGCCGUAAACGAUGAAUGCUAGGUGUAGGAGGUAUCGACCCCUUCUGUGCCGGAGUUAACGCAAUAAGCAUUCCGCCUGGGGAGUACGGCCGCAAGGCUGAAACUCAAAGGAAUUGACGGGGGCCCGCACAAGCGGUGGAGUAUGUGGUUUAAUUCGACGCAACGCGAAGAACCUUACCAGGGCUUGACAUUGAGUGAAAGGACAAGAGAUUGUCCCCUCUCUUCGGAGACACGAAAACAGGUGGUGCAUGGCUGUCGUCAGCUCGUGUCGUGAGAUGUUGGGUUAAGUCCCGCAACGAGCGCAACCC